UUGUUAGUAUGUGUCUGUCACCUUCGUAGCGCUGUUCAGGCUUUAUUUUCUUUGCAAAAAUUCAGACUUUAUGGUAUUAAGCUGUUCGAGUAGAAGUGACUUUCCGUGCUCGCUUAAGAUAGAUUGUGUAUCCCUGUCCUGUGGUUUCUUCACGCAGGGCCAAUGCAAAUGAGUAUUUAGCAUUAUGCAAUAAUUAUCUGAUAGCAGAAAUGGGUGUCUUUGUCACAGUUUAUUAGCGUGUGCGUCGUUAUUUUAUUUAUUUUUUUCUCUUAUAGCUAUGCGAGCAAAAGUGCGUGUAAUAUUUCGCUGCUCUUUACUUAUUUUCUCUACUUUUUAUGUAGAAGAAAGCCUCCUACGUAAAAGCUGAAUAGUGUUCUACCAGUGGAAGUGGGGUUGUUUGUUUGAUUUUGUUCGAUAUCUUAACGAAGUAAGCAGAGCUUAAUUUUGCAGGUUUUUGAGCAGAAAUGCUGGUAUCUGAGCACGGAGUACAAAUUUCUAUAUUUCUCUGCUCCCUAAGAAAAUUUGUACGUCGUUUUCCAAGCAGACCGCGUUUAGUUUACGCAAAAUAGAAAAAUGAAGUUGUGUAUGCUCUAUGAUGAUCCGCCGCAGGCUUAGGCCUUUUCCCCGAUGAGCAGUGUUUUGUAUGCGAUGUCGCAUGUCUGGACUUGUUCAGUGUUGCAAUUUUUACCCUUCGUUAAUAUCUUGUUGUUGUCGUCGUCUUGUGUUAGACGUUGAGCUUCGUAGCGAUGUGCGGUAACGCUACGAUUAUUCCUGAGCGCUCCGUGUGUUUAAUGCGUUGUCCUCUGUGCGUGCAUGCGUGUGCUUUUUUUUUUCUCCUGAUUUGUGACGUCAGCGUGGCAUGUCUGGACUUGUUUAGCAGUGUUGCAGUUCUUCCCGCUGCUAGUAUCUUGUUGCUGUCAUGUUGUACUAGCCGCGUGGCGAUGUGUGGUGACCUGAGGUCUUCAGCCUUUUCCCUGCUCACCUAAGGAAAUUUGUGUAUCCCUGUCCUGUGCUUUCUUUACGCAAGGGCAAUGCGUCUGUGUAUGUGGCACUAUCAGAUACCAGACAUGAGUGUCUUUUUCUUGGUUUAUUGGCAUAUGCUUCAGGUUUUUUAAGUCAAGCAAAUGUGCGUGUAAUAUUUCGCUGCUCUUUUCUUAUUUUCUCUACUUUUUAUGUAGAAGAAAGCCUCCUGCGUAAAAGCUGAAUAGUGUUCUACCAGUGGAAGUGGAGUUGUUUGUUUGAUUUUGUUCGAUAUCUUGACGAAGUAAGCAGUGUUUAAUUUUGCAGGUUUUUGAGAAGAAAUGCUGGUAUCUGAGCACGGAGUAGAAAUAUUUCUCUGCUCCUUAAGAAAAUUUGUACGUCGUUUUCCAAGCAGACCGCGUUUAGUUUACGCAAAAUAGAAAAAAUGAAGUUGUGUACGCUCUAUGAUGAUCCGCCGCAGGCUUAGGCCUUUUCCCCGAUGAGCAGUGUUUUGUAUGCGAUGUCGCAUGUCUGGACUUGUUCGGUAGUGUUGCAAUUUUUACCCUUCGCUAAUAUCUUGUUGGUGUCGUCUUGUGUUAGACGUUUAGCUUCGUAGCGAUGUGCGGUGACGCUACGAUUAUUCCUGAGCGCUCCGUGUGUUUAAUGCGUUGUCCUCUGUGCGUGCGUGCGUGCGUGUGCUUUUUUUUUUCUUUUUGCUUUUUUUUUCUUCCUGAUUUGUGACGCCAUCGUGGCAUGUCUGGACUUGUUUAGCAGUGUAGCAGUUCUUCCCGCUGCUAGUAUCUUGUUGGUGUCAUGUUGUGCUAGCCGCGUGGCGAUGUGUCGUGACCUGUGGUCUUAAGCCUUUUCCCUGCUCACCUAAGGAAAUUUGUGUAUCCGUGUCCUGUGCUUUCUUUGCGACAAUGCGUCUGUGUAUGUGGCACUAUCAGAUACCAGACAUGAGUGCCUUUUUCUUGGUUUAUUGGCAUAUGCUUCAGGUCGAGCACAAGCGCGCGCAAUUUUUCGCUGCUCUCUUCUUCAAAUCACCGAUUUUACGCAGAAGAAAGUCGCAUGGUGCAGCUGAGAAGAGGGUUUCUCUGAUUGUUUGUUUGAUUUUGUUGGGUGUUCGAUAUGUUGAGGAAGUCAGCUGUUAAAGGUAUCCGUGAAGAAAUGCUUGCAUCUGAGCGCAGGAUAGGAAUUCCUGAAGCACGGCACCCUCAGUGUAAAUUAAUUAUUUUGGAUAUGAGUCUGCUUCCCUGCAUGACAAGGCUGAAAUGGGAAGAGAGAAAAAAUUGGAGCGCUUCAUUAGUAGCGAUCCAAGUAAUAGGGCAAUUAUAGUUUCCAUAGAAAGUUGGGCUCCUAAAAUUAUAGUUUAGUUGUAGUUUUUCUAAACUGCAAUGCAAUAAUCAUUAAUAUAGUAUAGGAAUGCCAUCGUGUUCCCGUAAAGGCGUUCUGUCUUGUGCUUUCGCGCCUUUUUGCUCGCAAUGCGCGAAUGGAACUUUGCCCACCCGGCUUCCGCGCCUUUUUUGCUCGCAGGUGUAGCCUCAGACAACGAAUGUAUGAGCAUAGAAAGGGUCAUGUAUUACAUAAGCCUGGAGGUGAUGUUGAGUGGUCUCACUUAUUAUUUUAAAAGAGCAGUGGCAGUUUACUGUAAUUCUAAUGACCAUGAUGAGCCUUUGGGGUGAAAAUCGUUAAUAUGCGGGGUGCUUUUUGUUGAAUUUUAAUGAGAGAAUCAAUGUCAUUAAGAGUAGGACAAAGGAAAUAAUCUUGCGAUUCAAUAAAUAAUAGGAGUCUUUGCCGGUGUCUUCUUCUUCAGACAGGAUGUGAUGACGUCACGCAGUCUGUAGCAAUGCAUUGACCGUUACUGGAAAAAAGUGUGGCAAUAGAAAAAUAGUGUGUAUUGUCCUGGGCAGAUUUAUGAUGAGCACUGUUUUUGAAUAAGAAGAAAUAGUUUGAUGCUGGUUUCCUUCUUUGUUUCUUUUCGCUUUUUCCCCCCUUGUCUGACAAACAUGUGCUGACAUGCCUGGGCUUGUUCUGACAUGCUUUCCUUCUGCAUGUAGUUUUUUUUCCUUUUGUACAAGGCAUAUUCUUGACGAUAGUGCUGCCUUGAAUGGGAGUAGAGCAAUUCUUAAUAAUUUUGCGAUUCAUUUAGUUCAGAGAGUAACCGCGAGGGAGACAGGUGUGUGACAUUAUGUCUUGCUGAACCAUUUUUUUUCCUGUACAGUAAGACUUUGGGAAUGAAAUGCUACAAUCUCCUCUUGUCUAUGGUGUUUUUCUGCAAUAGUUGCCUACGCAAUCAUUAUAGUAGAAUAAAGGAAAUAAUCUAGGGAUAGUGAUUCAAUAAAUAACAGGUGCCCUGUCUAGAGCGUACGCGUCCUUGAGCCACGCACCUGCAUGAUGACCGCAUACCGAGAGACUAUUGUUUCAGGUUGACCUUGUCUAGAGGAGCAUUAGUGGGAAAAAACUGUGUAGCCCUGAGACAAUAGGAUGAUGUCUGGACCAAUGAGACUGGCCUGCAGGGGACGCAAGGAUUCACUUCUCUCUUGGACACUGGCGGAUGUAGACACGCCUCUCGCAGGUGGCGGUAGGAGCGCGCAGAGGGCGCUACGAGCGCGCGCAUGCGUAGCACCCGUAGAGUGGCGUUUACGUCAGUCCACCUCUGGCUCUCGUUGGGAGAAGACGUGCGGUCGUUCGCUCCGUCGUCACUUGAUCCCUGGCUGUCGACGAGAGCGGACGCUCCGUCGCAGCGGGGAAAAAGGUGAGUGAUUUACCGAUGUUGGCGCGUUGUUUUACCGUGCUCGUGUUAAGCCUUUUCUCGCAUGUUUAGACUUGUUUAGCGGUGUCCAAGCCUGUUGACGCACGUUUACCAUCGUGUGGUUCCCGCCUUGUGUUAGCCGCGAAGUGUUGUGACGCUGUGGUUAGGCCUAGUCGAUUGCCUUAAGCCUUUUCCCCCAAUGUGUAGUGUUUUCUCCGUGCUGUUUAGCAGUGGCGGUUAGGCCUUUUCCCCGCGCUCUGGCAUGCUUAGACUUGUCGAGCAGUGUUGCCAUUUUUACGUGUCGCUAGUACUUUCUUGUUCUCUGUGUUUCUCGUAUAGAGCUACGAUGCUGGCGCCAUCUGGUGUGAUGCCUUGGAACUAGCGUGCCACCUGCCUCUGCAACCGUCGUGCUCCAGUCGCCCCGGCGUGAUUUCUUCAAGAUGGCGUCGUUGAUUUUCAAAUAAAUCAUUUCCUACUGUCUG